rnacentral:lncRNA from 1 species
CUCCAGGCUGGAGUGCAGUGGCACGAUCUCAGCUUACUGCAACCUCCGCCUUCUGGGUUCAAACGAUUCUCCUGCCUCAGCCUCCCGAGUUCAUGCUUCUGCAAUCAUUCACUUCCCUGCCAAGAAGAAUGAUUUUCCAACCACUACUAACCAGCAAAUGCAGCAUGUUUCUGUGGCCAUAGGUCAAGCUGGAAAACAUUUUUCCAUAAAACCAUGUGCAAUUUCAUGCCACAGGUGAAAGAAUAGCCCAAAUCCACAAGAGGGAAUUUGGAUGUACAAACAGAACCAAGGAUGUGCAGAACCAGAAGAAAGAUCAUGUGAGAACACCGCCCUAAGUAUCUGCAAGCCAUGGAGAGAGACCUCAAAAGAAACUGAACUCUGACAACACCUCUAUCUCGCUCUUCUAGCCUUUAGAACUAUGAGAACAUAAAUCUCGGUUUUUUAAGCCAUCCAGUUUGUAAUACUUUGUUAUGGCUGACACAGAAAACUAAUAAAAGAUACAAAAAUACAGUAAAUAAUGCACGUUACUUGAUAAAAAUCAAGUAAGAAACUUUUAGUACAUAAAUUAGGUAAAUAAAAUGUAAAAUGUUUAUCUUCAGCUUCUAUACAAACAUGAAAUUUACUUUGAACUUCUCUGAAUUCUCAUAUUUCUUCUUUAAUUUAUUCCAGGUUCAGAUAAUGAGUGUAUUAUAAACAGAGUCUCAAACUUAAUUUGAUAACUGAAAGUGACUAUGUUGGUAAUUUAAUUUCAAAGUUAUAUCUUCAGCAUUUAUGUACCACAGAAACAUUUCACAAUAACAUUCUAAAAUUAAUGAAUUUUCCCAGAAAAGUGAUUCCAAUCAUUUGAAACUUUUUACUUAUGUACACGAUAAAUUUAAUGCAAACAUAAGCCAUUCCACAAAUACAUCUAAAUAUUAUAUCACAGGAUAUAGCAUGUAAUAUAUUUCUAUAGAUCAGUAGGAAAUUCAUGAAAAUUCAAACCAAGUAUAAGUUUUGUAAAUCACACUGUACUUUUCCAUUGCUUGUGUUAGUAUUUAACUUUUCAAGUAUUUUAAUGCUGUUUUCCCCAGCCAGUCUAUAAAUUCUUCAAGAAUUACUUAUUGUACCACCUACAGCAAAAUCAGAAACAUGAACAAUAUAAGUAAUCUAUAGUCUGUAUGGAUAGAAUGAAUCAAUAAUUCUAACAACCUAUGAAAGUGAGUUCCUAGA